CCUACGGGCGGCAGCAGUGAGGAAUAUUGGUCAAUGGACGAGAGUCUGAACCAGCCAAGUAGCGUGAAGGAUGACUGCCCUAUGGGUUGUAAACUUCUUUUAUAUGGGAAUAAAAUGUUCCACGUGUGGGAUUUUGUAUGUACCAUAUGAAUAAGGAUCGGCUAACUCCGUGCCAGCAGCCGCGGUAAUACGGAGGAUCCGAGCGUUAUCCGGAUUUAUUGGGUUUAAAGGGAGCGUAGGUGGAUUGUUAAGUCAGUUGUGAAAGUUUGCGGCUCAACCGUAAAAGUGCAGUUGAAACUGGCAGUCUUGAGUACAGUAGAGGUGGGCGGAAUUCGUGGUGUAGCGGUGAAAUGCUUAGAUAUCACGAAGAACUCCGAUUGCGAAGGCAGUUCACUGGACUGCAACUGACACUGAGGCUCGAAAGUGUGGGUAUCAAACAGGAUUAGAUACCCGAGUAGUC
rnacentral:rRNA from 1 species